rnacentral:tRNA from 1 species
GGGGAAAGAAUUCAACAGGUACAGUGCGGGACUUGAAUACCUGAGGCUUCAGGUUCCAUCCCUGGUGUCCUCU